UGAGCCCUGCAGAAACUCUUUCUGGACAUCCUUAGAAAGCACUUUGCACCUCUGGAACCAAGCAGUAGUUGGAAGCAAGCUUCUGCCUUGAGGAAAACCUGAAAUUUCGGCAUGUAUUAUCAAUACAUAAUUCUUUGUGGCACUGAAAUGUAAAUAUAUUAUAUGAUAACUAAUGGAGAGAAUUCGGUUCUGGCUGCAAAAGGGGAAAGAAGAAUUCACAAAUUGUAGACGCUGGACGGGACCUGUAGAGAUUGAGUUCAACCAUCUGCUAAAGCAAGUUCACUACACAGGCAGACGUCCAGAUGGGUCUUGUGUAUCCACAAAGAAGGAGACUCCACAACCUCUCCAGGCAGCCUGUUCCAGUGCUCAAUAUCUUGUUGAAAACUCAUCCUGUGAACAUUGACACCACAUCAUACUUAUGAUGAUAGUUUAUUAAUAAGAUAGUUUAUUCUGAAGGCGGUCAAGAAGAUCACCAUGAAGACUGAGUCAUCUGUUGGUGCCUGAGUAACAGCUCUUCUCAAGCAGCCUUGGAAAAGACACAGACAUCUGAAAGAAAUACACCCUCUGCUGCCAAGCAAUCUGAACGUACAUCUGUCUCCAAGGUAUAUCUCUCUUUAAAACUAUAAGGAAAGUGGCCAGCUGUGAUGACAUAUAAAGACUGAACCAAAAAUACUUGGAGAAAGUGAGGAAGAUGCAAUAUCUCAAUGAUGCUUUUGCAACACAUCAUCUGUGAGGGGCCAACACAGAAAGUCUGGCUGCUAAUCACAGCUGGAUGUAAGCCAUGAAGUUCAGCUAUGAGUGCAAACUUUCCUUCAGCCUGAGGUCAUUUGGCUUCAUGCAUUUGGUAGACAGAAAAGGACUAGUAUGAAGUGCAAAUUGUGUUCUAGUUUGUAUAAAUUAUUAAGGUGAUCUGGUGUGAAUGUUUUCUACAGAUUCCUGUCCAUUAUUCUUGUAGAUUUAAGGCUAUUAAAGUUGUUUUACACAUA